UGAAUGAGGGGAACUCAGGGAACGGAAACAUCUAAGUACCGGAAGGAAGAGAAAAGAAUUCGAUGCCGUAAGUAGAGGCGAGCGAAAGCAGAGUAGCCCAAACCGAGAANGUUUUCUUUAUUGGGGUUGCGGAAAUAUCAUAACGAAGAGGUAUGGUAAUUGAAGAGGUUUGGAAAGACCAACCACAGAAGGUAAUAGUCCUGUAUGUUAAACGAGAAGACUUUAGAUAUGAUCCAGAGUACUACGGGACACGUGAAACCCUGUGGGAAGCAGGAGGGACCACCCUCCAAGGCUAAAUACUACCUAUGGACCGAUAGAGUAGAGUACCGUGAGGGAAAGGUGAAAAGACCCCCGGGAUGGGAGCGAAACAGAACGUGAAACCGUGCCCUGACAAGCUGUUCAAGCACCGUUCUGGUGUGACGGCGGCAUGUUUGUCGUGCGGGACAG
rnacentral:rRNA from 1 species